UCUAGGACAAGCUGCUGAAAGACAAGCAAAUCCUCAGAAAUACUGGUAUCAAGCAGCUUCACACCUUGAAGGACAGCAGCAGGACAAGGAACAAUGACAGUAACUACUGAAUUGGCCUGUGAACUGGAUGACUAGUGGUGAGGUCACACCAGGAAAUGAAUGGCGACGGCGAGCAGGCAACCCCAAUUCAGUUUGCAUUUUUUAAUGGACAAGAUGUAAGACAUGUAUCAACCCGGGAGCUGAAGCUAUGGAGCCAGAGCUAACGCCGGGAUCAUCUAUCCCUGCACACAACCACAACCCAGGAGAGAGUCCACUCCACAGGAUUAACUACUACGAAACCCUUCUACUCCAAGUUUAAAGCCACAGGUCCCUUUUGUGUCUUCAAAGAGAUUUGUACCUGAAAUCCUGCUGUGGGGUCACUGUCCACAUAUCUGCCUGCAGCCUGAGCUGAAGACAUGCUGAGGAGCUCCUGUCUGUACUGCUACUGUCUGUGUACCAUAUGUUUGCUACUUGUGCUUGGGAUUUUUACUGGAUAUUGCUCAAACCGGGCAUUGUUUGAGCUGGACACUGUUUUAAUACUAUCUGAACUGGACAGAAAUUGAAAUUGGACACUGAGUUCUUUGGAUUUAGGCUGUUAUCCGAUAUAUUAUGUGCAAAUUUCCCCCCAAAAUUAGAUACUCCUUAUAGAGUUUAUCGUUUUUGAGUGCAGCAGGCAAUGUGUACCCUCUAUCCCAUGAAGCUCUACAUGAGUGCUGGCUACAUGGUAUCCUACACCGCUCCCACCAUGCAUCUGGGGGUUCUGUUUCACCGGGGUCUGUUCUGGGAGUAGUUCUUGUUUUUAGGAGAUACUGGAUCGCCACCACAAAAGGCAGUGGCGUAAAUUAUUAAAUUUGCGGUCAAUACCACACACCUUAAAUAUACCAGGGAAAAAGAAAUGGAAAAUAGGAAACCUAAUCCUUUCUGCAUAAGCCUUUUAAAUACACAUCUUUGUUAAUUGCUGACCAAAUUCUGGGAUCAGAACAAGAUGCCCUUUGUAUAACAGAAACCUGGCUGGGCAAAAAUGAUAUCCUACCCCUAAAAGAGGUCUGCCCGCCUGGGUUUUCUUUACUACAUAAACCCUGUGAGGGUAAAUGUGGCGGGGGUGUUGCAAUCUGUUCUCACAUUAGAUUUGUUUUACAUAAACUAGAUAGUAUAUCCUAUAGCUCAUUUUAGCAUCUGUUAUUUUCUCUCCGAGCAGCUGUCCUUCUUGUCUCCUGUCACUCUAGACUUUUGACUGUGGGUGAUUUUAACAUCCAUAUAGACAACUAAUUGAAUAACCUUUCUAAAAAUGUCACUCCUCUUUUAGAUUCUUUAAACCUGAAUCAGCGUAUCGCAACACCUACCCACAUUAACGGACAUACUCUAUAUAUGGUUAUUACAUUAGAUUUCUCUCCUAGUAACCUUUUCCUUGCUCCACUUUAUUUCUCUGAUCAUGUUCUUGUUUCUUUUGAUAUUGCUUCACCUCUUCCUGCUGUAGUGCCACACACUGUUGUCUGUUAUAUUUAAAUCCCGUUGACUUUCAUAUCUAGUUAAGUUAACUAGCUUGGUUGUGGAUUCGAUGCUAAAUGCUGCACUGUUAUUAUCAACUGAUGAGGCAGUUGCCCUGUAUAAUUCUACUAUAUCCAGCCCUGUAUAAUUCUACUAUAUGCUUUUCUCCCUGGUACACUGAGGAUCUUAAGGGCUUAAAAAGUGAAGGUUGCAGUUUGGAACAAAAAUGGAGGGCAUCUGGGCUCUAUGUUGACCUGGAAGACACAUACGAAAAAAUAUCAAUUGGCCUUGACCACUGCAAAAUCAUCUUAUCUCUCUAAUAUUAUUUCCACUGGUAAAAAUUGGCCAAAAGGAUUGUUUAAUACUGUUGAUAAACUUUUAAAAUCUAAAACAAUUAACCCAGUGCAUGGAGAUCAAACUGACACUUGUGAAAACUUUUUACAAUUUUUUACAAAUAAAAUUGAAGUGAUUAGGACCCAGUUGCCCUUUGCCAUUAGUACUGCCGUCCCCUCUACUCCAGAUUGUUAUUCAACUAUGACUGCUAUUUUUAAGAAAUGUACAGCAAUAACUGAGGCUGAUCUAAAGACUGUCAUAACUAAACUAAAUCCUACAACCUGUGGUUUGGAACCUUGGCCUACCUGGCUUAUUAGGGAGUGUUCUCCUAUCCUGGGUCCCGCUUUAACUCAUAUUGUUAACUUCUCUUUGACAUGUGGAAGGGUUCCCUCAACACUAAAACUGGCUGAAAUUAAACAACUUCUAUAAAACAUAACUUUCCCCCACACGAUCUUACAAAUUAUAGGCCUAUUUCCAACAUCCCUUUUCUAGCAAAGCUGAUUGGAAAAGUUGUGACUGCCCAGCUUCAGGGUCAUUUUUGUAAAUAUGGCCUAUUGGAAAAGUUUCAGUCAGAUUUUCACUCUGGUCAUAGUACUGAGACACCCCUUUGAGGGUCUGUAACGACCUCCUCUGUAUUGUCGACACAGGAAAAAUGUUUAUUCUAGUGUCAUUUGAUCUGUCUGGUGGUUUUGACACUGUGGAUCAUGCGAUCUUACUGGAGAGGUUACAAAAUGAUAUUGGAAUUCCAGGCACUGCCUUGGAAUGGUUUCGCUCCUGUCUAUUAUCAAUUAUGGCACUCAGGUCUAUUGUUCCCUUCCUACAAAACAAGAGGUGCCAGUUUCUUUGCUGUCUCCAUACCUGAGCAAAGUUUAAUUAUGGAUGGCUGAAAACUUAUUUAAAAUAAAUCCUAGUAAAACACUGAUAUUAUUAGUGUGCUCCAAAAACACUAAAGUCUCACUAAAUCAUCUAGUAUUGAAGUGUCAUUUCAUGGUAAUCUAACUCCAUUUUAUUCAGACCCAUUUUAUCUGAUAAAGAAGCUGAGAUGUUUGUUCAUGCUCUUGUUCUUUCUUGGCUGGAUUAUUGUAAUGCUUUGUUUGUCGGCCUCCCUGAUUCUAAGUAACGUAGGCUCCAACUAGUUCAAAAUGCUGCAGCUAGAAUGCACCAGCCGUUUACAACAUAUCACUCAAAUUCUUAGAUCGCUGCACUUGCUUCCCGUUAAAAUUUAGGACUGAUUUUUAAAUUCUGCUCACUACUUAUAAGGCACUACAUGGCCUUGGUCUUCAAUAUUUGCAGGAUUUUUUGGUGCCAUAUGUUGUUAGUCGCAGCUUGCACUCAGUAAAUACUGAAGAAUUGGUGUUUUCCAGAAGUCGCUUAAAAUCAGGAGGGCCUUUAGUUGUUAUGCCCCAUGCCUCUGGAACUCUGUUGGCACAGUUGAAUCUUUUAAAUCAGUUUUAAAAACACAUUUCUGAGCUGGGUUAAUUUGCCAAUGGCUUUUUAUUAUUUUAAGUUUUUACUGUAAAGUACCCCGGGAUACUCUGCAGGAAGAGCGCUGUAUAAAAGCUAAUUGUUGUUGUUGUUGUUGCUGACAGCAUGACAAAGAAUUGAACUAUAGGUAUAUUAAAGCAACAGGUUGUUAAAGGAUGUACAACAGGUAUUCUAGACUGCAAAUGAACACACCUUUUUUACCAACACCAUAAUUGUCUUUCAUAUUUUUUCAUUGAGCUCCAGAAUGAUUAUAGUAAAACAGAACAGCAGAUACACUAUUCUCUGACCUGGACAUUAGCAAGGUAAGGCAGAGUCUGAGUCAAGGGACGCAAAAGCACACCUGAUUACUGACAAUGUAUAUUUGACCAUUUAACAGAUGUUCAUUUUAAUCUUGAGAAUAUCGAGUCAGAUGUCUGUGCAACUAAUAAUGUAGUAUUACUGUAGCUCCUGGGGGACGAUAACAAUAAAUGGUCUGUCCAGGGCAAACCAUGCAUUCUUUAGAAUUUCUGAAGAUUAUGUCUAGUACACAUUGAACUAUGACAUGUGUAGUUAAAUACAUUUUUUUAUUAUUAUAUAUAGUAUGUAGUUUCUUUUUCUUUCCUUCUAAUUAUGCACAUAUGUAGCAGGUGUAUAUAUUAUAUGUGUUCCAAAUAAGGGCAUAGUACUGUAUAGAAAAAGUGCAUGCCACAUUACAACAAGGGGAAAUUGAUUUAAUACAUGCUAAUAAUUUGACAAUGGAAUACAAACUUAAAAACAAAUACUGUACUAAUUUGGAUAAUUAGAAGGUAAUGUGUCUUUAAAUGUGCUUUUGGAAAGUUGCCUAUGAAAGGCUGUUAAUAAAUCAAAUUGGCACUGCAUAAUGCACUUGUUUUGUUGCCGCAUCAGUUUCAGGGUCAACAAAAAUCCCUGUGGCAAAGGAACAUUUACCAGUAAUAUAUUGUGACUGCUACUCUUACACUUCACUGCAUUUUUUUUUUUUUUAUCAUAUAUCUAGAACAUUUAGUUUGGGCGUUUUUGAUAAUUGAUUAAUCACGAAUUGAUUAAUCACAAAUUGAUUAACAUGCAUAAUGUGCAAUGUGUAAUUUACAUGGGAAUGCACUGUAAGUGUGCAAUAAAUUAGUUGCAGUGUCAUAGGUAACAAUUAAAAUGACUGUAGCAAGUCAGAGCCCUGCUUGUAAAUAAGUGUUGUGUUUGUGGGUUUAUAGUGGUGGUUAGCAGGGAUAGGGUUAAUUCCUAUCCCUGCCAAAUACAUAUGAGAAUGCGACUGUUCCCAAAUUAGAAAAUUGGUGCUAAUUGAGAGAGAGAGAGAGAGAGAGAGAGAGAGAGAGACAGAUAGAUGCUCCUGUUUAUAUUUAAACUUACCGUGAUAGUGCGAGGUUUUGUUUGUCAUUUCUAUUUGAAAAAUAAACACUAGCAGCUCUUCAGCUUUGUGUCUCCUUCCAACCUCCUGACCACCUUAGGCACCCGACUAGCCUGUUGCAUCGAUUUAUAUUAAUUUUGUAAAAACAUGAUGAUUUUCUGAGGUCAAGCUGGUGUACUAGUUAUUUUCUAAGCAAUAGUUUAUAAGGGAAUCCGUUGCAGCUAUACAAAUUUAUUGCUUCAGGGUACACCCGUCUCAACUGGUAACAUUUGGUCACGUGG